AAAGAGCAAGUAACGUCUAAAUUAACUUUUUUUUGCUGAUGAACUGUAUAAAUGAGUGUCUAAUAGUGUUUUAAAUGUGUGUAUUCAUUAUUUUAGCAUUUUGGUGCAUUUUCUUAAAAAAUUAAAAAUUCUGCCUAAAUACCACAGUAUAGCUCCACCUUCAGCUUAAAACAUAGAAUUUGACUCAUUUUGAAUAAAUUUUAGCCAAUGGCUAAAGAGUAAGAUACUACGUAAUCCAGUAGAGUACUACGUAGCAGCUCUGUGUCAACGUUAUAAAAGCAUCGGGAGUCUCGGCCACGCCUUGUGGCGAGUUGGGAGUUGGAUUUGCAUGAGAGUGUAGGAGGCUAGCCGUAGUUCAGCAUUAGCAUAUAGCAUUAGCAUAUCCUAGUCUUUAGCAUAGCUUUUAGUGUUAUACAUACUUAUUUAGUGUUAGCUUGGCUGUUGGAUAUUGUAGUUUAGUUACUGUUUGGCUGUUAGUGUAAUUAGGAAAGUAGUUCGGGUUUAGUGCUCCAUAUCGGGUUAGCAUGGUGAGAUGGUGUAGUGUAGUAUGGUUGCGGAGCUCUGUCGGGUUGCACUCCUUUCCGCUGGACUUAGAAAUUAGGCGCCAGUGGUUGCGUGUCUGGAAAAGAUUCAGCUCCCGCCUGGUGCUGUAGUUUGCAACCAGCAUUUUACCCGCGAUUCUGCACGUCUCCGUUCCAAGAGGGAGGUUGUGCCCACCGUGGCUCUUCCGCGAUUUAGAUACAGACCACCGACUCUGCUCCCCCACCAUGACGGGCUACAGUCUGAGGUGAGUAAGCUAAAUAAAAGUUUUAACAUCUUCUAAAGACAAUUUCCUACCUAAAUGCAAAGUUUGAGAGACGUGGUUCACUCCAUUUAGCUAAUAUCAGUCUGCACUGCCUUCGGGCUGAUUUGUCAAGUUCACAAAAUGUGGAACGGGAUGUAAGGUUAGAAUCAGCGGCGAAUCGGAACAUAUCUCGAAGCCCUGGCCGACAAAACGGUCCACAUGACUGUCAGGCUCAGAGAAAAUUCGGGUUGUUUUUGUGUCAGUCGGUAAUUCAGCAACAGUGACUCUAAACUGACGCAGCACUAGUUGACAGACAGCAUUACAGCGUGAAAUCUAGCACAGCGUGACCCGGUUCCGUGAGGAAUUCUGUUCAGGAGGUCGCAUUUCAGGGUCUCCACAUCAUAUGUGACUGACUUUUACUUUAUAAUAACAUCACACACUAGGAAUGUUAUAAAGCGCCUAUAUGGGACAGUUUCUUUUGUAUUUUAUCUGACUUUAUAAACAUCAAUGUGCUUCUAUUUUUUUCAGGCUAAAUCUACCCAAGACACUGGCUGUCAGACUGAUUUAGUAAUCUGCAAGAAUGCACUUGUCCAGGCUGACGUGAAGCCUUACCCGUAGCAAAGAGCUCACAGCCUCAGUGUCUUGUGACACAGGGACCAUGACAGAAAUUCAUCUUCCAGAAGGUCCCAGAGCAUCCACACCCCCUGAAAAGACCACGGUGUGAGGUGUCUGCUGUUGAUUCCAGCUUCCACCUCAGUGACAGUGCAAGCUCAGUGAACUGUUCAAGGAGGCUACUGAUUCUGGCCCUGUGACACUUGGUGGUCACCACCAGGUGGUGACGUGUGAGCUGAUUCACCUGGACACUCAGCAAAAUAUGGACUCUACACCAUGAGGCAGGCACACGUUAAUAACUCUAUAAGAGUACAUAAGCCUGGCUGAUCACCUGAUAACUCAUGUUAUCUGGUUAUGACAGCAUGAGGAUGUCCUCACACACCUGUAACCUACCAGCUCAUCUGGCAGAAUAGAGAGAGAAGAGACAACACCACAUCUCCUGUUCCUGGAAAGCCUUCAGCCAUCCUUCGAUGACUGAGAACCUCCAUCAGCUCUGUCUCCUGUCUGCCUACAAUUAUUAUAAUAAAUAUUGUGUUUGACAAGUU